GGAGAGAUGGCCGAGUAGGUCGAAGGCGUUCGCCUGCUAAGCGAAUGUAUGUCCUAAUAGAUGUACCGAGGGUUCGGACGCAGUCCAGCGAAGCUCAUCCCUCUCUCUCCG
rnacentral:tRNA from 1 species